GGUUAACAGGAAUGAUGCGACCGGUGGUUCUGGAAAUGCUGGAUGCUGUGUGUAUGUGUGUAUAGGUAUUGUCUUGAAGGCAGCCCAUGCUGGGCAGUAAAUAAGUCCACUGGUGUGAGUAAGAGCAAGAGCAAAUGGCCCCAGUCAUCACGGGCUGUUCAUUCUUUUGGGGAUCAUCGGGUGAAAUUAAUUUAACACUCGGCUGUUUGCUGAGACACAAUGCGGCGGAAACGACAAUCGAGUCAUUCGGCGUCCCUCCAGUGCUGUAAAAAAAACAUCUCGGACUUUGAGUACAAUUACACACUGAUUUGGACAGUUGUAACUUUAAUAGAAAUUCCGUCACUGGAGACCUCCAAGUACUUCAUAUAACACUGUGUGUGUUUUUCUUGUGUACAGGAGAAACACUGGUGGUGUUUGGUGGUGUAAUUAUCAUUAGUAUAAAUGUAGCUCAGGUUAUCGCAUUUUAUUGGUGACUGAUCACAGGCAGAUUGAAAUAUUUGUUUUUGCUUUAUGUAUAGACUUUAGAAAUAUUUCGUCAAGUAUCAUUCGGUAUUUUGGAUCCAUGUAAUUCACCGAUUAGGCAUAGAAUUAUGACCACCUGCCUCAUAUUGUGUUGGUCCAACUUUUCCUGCUAAAAUAAA